rnacentral:tRNA from 1 species
GCAUGUGUGUACUAGACGCACGCUCGCCCUCCGAAGGCAGAGGUCUCGCGUUCGAAUCGCGACGGGUGCACCA